rnacentral:rRNA from 1 species
UACGGAGGGCGCAAGCGUUGUUCGGAAUUACUGGGCGUAAAGGGCGUGUAGGCGGUCUGGUAAGUCGGUUGUGAAAUCCCCGGGCUCAACCCGGGAACUGCAUCCGAAACUGCUGGGCUAGAGUUCCGGAGAGGAAGGCAGAAUUCCCAAUGUAGGGGUGAAAUCCGUAGAUAUUGGGAGGAAUACCAGUGGCGAAGGCGGCCUUCUGGACGGUGACUGACGAUGAGACGCGAAAGAGUGGGGAGCAAACAGG